rnacentral:rRNA from 1 species
UACGGAGGAUGCGAGCGUUAUCCGGAUUUAUUGGGUUUAAAGGGUGCGCAGGCGGCGCCACCAGUCAGCGGUCAAAUCGGCGGGCUCAACCCGUCGCCGCCGUUGAUACUAUGGUGCUGGAGUGCGCGCGAGGGCGGCGGAAUGCGUGGUGUAGCGGUGAAAUGCAUAGAUAUCACGCAGAACUCCGAUUGCGAAGGCAGCUGUCCGGCGCGCCACUGACGCUGAGGCACGAAAGCGUGGGUAUCGAACA